rnacentral:rRNA from 1 species
UCUUGGCUGAAAGAUGGCGUAAGCUAUCGCUUUUGGAUGGACCCGCGGCGUAUUAGCUAGUUGGUGAGGUAACGGCUCACCAAGGCAAUGAUACGUAGCCGAACUGAGAGGUUGAUCGGCCACAUUGGGACUGAGACACGGCCCAAACUCCUACGGGAGGCAGCAGUAGGGAAUCUUCCACAAUGGACGCAAGUCUGAUGGAGCAACGCCGCGUGAGUGAAGAAGGCUUUCGGGUCGUAAAACUCUGUUGUUGGAGAAGAAUGGUCGGCAGAGUAACUGUUGUCGGCGUGACGGUAUCCAACCAGAAAGCCACGGCUAACUACGUGCCAGCAGCCGCGGUAAUACGUAGGUGGCAAGCGUUAUCCGGAUUUAUUGGGCGUAAAGCGAGCG